rnacentral:rRNA from 1 species
GAUGAACGCUAGCGGCAGGCUUAAUACAUGCAAGUCGUGGGGCAGCAUGAGUGUAGCAAUACAUUUGAUGGCGACCGGCAAACGGGUGCGGAACACGUACACAACCUUCCUAUAAGUGGGGAAUAGCCCAGAGAAAUUUGGAUUAAUACCCCGUAACAUAACGAUGUGGCAUCACAUUGUUAUUAUAGCUUCGGCGCUUAUUGAUGGGUGUGCGGCUGAUUAGAUAGUUGGCGGGGUAACGGCCCACCAAGUCUACGAUCAGUAGCUGAUGUGAGAGCAUGAUCAGCCACACGGGCACUGAGACACGGGCCCGACUCCUACGGGAGGCAGCAGUAAGGAAUAUUGGUCAAUGGACGCAAGUCUGAACCAGCCAUGCCGCGUGAAGGAUUAAGGUCCUCUGGAUUGUAAACUUCUUUUAUCUGGGACGAAAAAAGGCUUUCCUAAGUCACUUGACGGUACCAGAUGAAGAAGCCCCGGCUAACUUCGUGCCAGCCGCCGCAGUAACAC